GAUGAACGCUGGCGGCGUGCCUAAUACAUGCAAGUCGAGCGAACAGAUGAGGAGCUUGCUCCUCUGACGUUAGCGGCGGACGGGUGAGUAACACGUGGAUAACCUACCUAUAAGACUGGGAUAACUUCGGGAAACCGGAGUUAAUACCGGAUAAUAUAUUGAACCGCAUGGUUCAAUAGUGAAAGACGGUUUUGCUGUCACUUAUAGAUGGAUCCGCGCCGCAUUAGCUAGUUGGUAAGGUAACGGCUUACCAAGGCAACGAUGCGUAGCCGACCUGAGAGGGGGAACGGCCACACUGGAACUGAGACACGGUACAGACACCUACGGGAGGCAGCAGUAGGGAAGCGUCCGCGAUGGGCGGAAGCCUGACGGAGCAACGCCGCGUGAGUGAUGAAGGUCUUCGGAUCGUAAAACUCUGUUAUGAGGGAAGAACAAAUGUGUAAGUAACUAUGCACGUCUUGACGGUACCUAAUCAGAAAGCCACGGCUAACUACGUG
rnacentral:rRNA from 1 species